rnacentral:rRNA from 1 species
AGUGAACGCUGGCGGUAGGCCUAACACAUGCAAGUCGAACGGCAGCACAGUAAGAGCUUGCUCUUACGGGUGGCGAGUGGCGGACGGGUGAGGAAUACAUCGGAAUCUACUUUUUCGUGGGGGAUAACGUAGGGAAACUUACGCUAAUACCGCAUACGACCUACGGGUGAAAGCAGGGGAUCUUCGGACCUUGCGCGAUUGAAUGAGCCGAUGUCGGAUUAGCUAGUUGGCGGGGUAAAGGCCCACCAAGGCGACGAUCCGUAGCUGGUCUGAGAGGAUGAUAAGCCACACUGGAACUGAGACACGGUCCAGACUACUACGGGAGGCAGCAGUGGGGAAUGUUGGGCAAUGGGCGCAAGCCUGAUCCAGCGAUACCGCGUGGGUGAAGAAGGCCUUCGGGUUGUAAAGCCCUUUUGUUGGGAAAGAAAAGCAGCAGGUUAAUACCCCGCUGUUCUGACGGUACCCAAAGAAUAAGCACCGGCUAACUUCGUG